AACGAACGCUGGCGGCAUGCCUAACACAUGCAAGUCGAACGAGACCUUCGGGUCUAGUGGCGCACGGGUGCGUAACGCGUGGGAACCUGCCCUUAGGUUCGGAAUAACUCCCCGAAAGGGGUGCUAAUACCGGAUAAUGUCUUCGGACCAAAGAUUUAUCGCCUUUGGAUGGGCCCGCGUUGGAUUAGCUAGUUGGUAGGGUAAAAGCCUACCAAGGCGACGAUCCAUAGCUGGUCUGAGAGGAUGAUCAGCCACACUGGGACUGAGACACGGCCCAGACUCCUACGGGAGGCAGCAGUGGGGAAUAUUGGACAAUGGGCGAAAGCCUGAUCCAGCAAUGCCGCGUGAGUGAUGAAGGCCUUAGGGUUGUAAAGCUUUUUUACCCGGGAUGAUAAUGACAGUACCGGGAGAAUAAGCUCCGGCUAACUCCGU
rnacentral:rRNA from 1 species